rnacentral:rRNA from 1 species
GACGUAGGGCGCGAGCGUUGUCCGGAUUUAUUGGGCGUAAAGAGCUCGUAGGCGGCUUGUUGCGUCGACCGUGAAAACCCGCGGCUUAACUGCGGGCUUGCGGUCGAUACGGGCGGGCUGGAGUUCGGUAGGGGAGACUGGAAUUCCUGGUGUAGCGGUGAAAUGCGCAGAUAUCAGGAAGAACACCCGUGGCGAAGGCGGCUCUCUGGGACGGUACUGACGCUGAGACGCGAAAGCGUGGGGAGCGAACAGG